rnacentral:rRNA from 1 species
CCUACGGGAGGCAGCAGUGGGGAAUAUUGCACAAUGGGCGGAAGCCUGAUGCAGCGACGCCGCGUGAGGGAUGACGGCCUUCGGGUUGUAAACCUCUUUCAGUAGGGAAGAAGCGUAAGUGACGGUACCUGCAGAAGAAGCGCCGGCUAACUACGUGCCAGCAGCCGCGGUAAUACGUAGGGCGCAAGCGUUAUCCGGAAUUAUUGGGCGUAAAGAGCUCGUAGGCGGUUUGUCGCGUCUGCCGUGAAAGUCCGGGGCUCAACUCCGGAUCUGCGGUGGGUACGGGCAGACUAGAGUGAUGUAGGGGAGACUGGAAUUCCUGGUGUAGCGGUGAAAUGCGCAGAUAUCAGGAGGAACACCGAUGGCGAAGGCAGGUCUCUGGGCAUUAACUGACGCUGAGGAGCGAAAGCAUGGGGAGCGAACAGGAUUAGAUACCCUGGUAGUCCAUGCCGUAAACGUUGGGCACUAGGUGUGGGGGACAUUCCACGUUUUCCGCGCCGUAGCUAACGCAUUAAGUGCCCCGCCUGGGGNGACGGCGCAGACAACUACAANAGAGUGACGCGNGAGACGUGCCGACGGCGACGACGAGGGAGGUAGG